UCCAAGAGCCUCGGAGCUACAAAACCCAAACCAAAGAGUUCGUCGGGAGAAAAAAAAACAUGCCGACGAACAAGACACCGUCCCUCACCAUAUAUUCCCUCUUCCUUGGUUUACUUUGGUUCGAUUAUUUUCCCGGUUUAGAAGCAGCAACCGGAAAACUAGGUUCGGUUCCGGGAGUAUACGUGUUUGGAGAUUCGUUGGUUGAUGCCGGAAACAAUAACUACUUAGCAUUUUCCGUUUCCAAAGCCAAUUAUCCACAUAACGGCGUUGAUUUUCCUGGCAAGAGACCCACCGGAAGAUUCAGUAACGGCAAAAACGCCGCCGAUGCUAUCGCUGAGAAAUUUGGUUUACCGCUACCACCGCCGUAUCUCUCGCUAAGAGGCCUAUUUAAAGAGAAAAGGAGAAAAUCUGCCGCCGUAACCGGUGUGAAUUUUGCUUCAGGUGGAGCGGGUAUCUUCAACAGCUCCGACCAAAAGCUUAGUGAAAAGGAGUAUUGGUUCAAUAGCCGGCAUUAUUUUAACUAAUUCAGGGACAAGCUAUUCCUUUAUCACACCAAGUAAACCAUUGGCUCUCUAUUCAUCGUCAACUGACGAAUCAGCUUGGACCAGCCGAAACACAAAUACAUCUAUCCAAAUCUCUAUUCACUGUGGUCAUAGGUAGUAACGAUCUUUUUGACUAUUUUGGAUCGUUUAAACUUCGAAGAAAAAACAAUCCUCAACAGUAUACACAAUUAAUGGCUGAUAAACUCAAAGAGCAAUUGAAGAGGAUUCACGAUACUGGAGCACGGAGAUUUCUAGUAGUCGGAGUUGCACAAAUUGGUUGCACACCGGGGAAAAGAGAGAAAAACUCGGCAAUCCAUGAAUGCGACGAAGAGGCAAACACGUGGUGCUCCUUGUACAACGAAGCUUUAGUAAAGAUGUUGCAACAACUCAAACAAGAGUUGCAAAGCUCAAUAACUUACUCUUACUUUGACAACUUCAAGUCCUUACAUGACAUUAUCUCCAACCCUGCCCGUUACGGUUUUGCUGAUGUGACAUCAGCUUGUUGUGGAAAUGGGAAAUUAAACGCGGAUACUCCAUGCCUUCCAAUCACGAGAUAUUGUUCAGACAGAACCAAAUAACUCUUCUGGGAUCGUUACGGUCAUCCCACGGAAGCUGCAGCUCGAACCUUCAUCGACCUUAUGUUAUCUGAUGAUUCACAAUACUCAUCUCCUUUAACUCUCACUCAAGUGGUUUCUUCAUAAUGUCAAUAUGGGGCUUCGUUGAUAAAGACUACGAAUCAAGUAUA